UACGGGGGGGGUAAGCGUUGUUCGGAAUUACUGGGCGUAAAGGGCUCGUAGGCGGCCAACUAAGUCGGAUGUGAAAUCCCCAGGCUCAACCUGGGAACUGCAUCCGAUACUGGAUGGCUUGAAUUCGGGAGAGGGAUGCAGAAUUCCAGGUGUAGCGGUGAAAUGCGUAGAUAUCUGGAGGAACACCGGUGGCGAAGGCGGCAUCCUGGACCGGCAUUGACGCUGAGGAGCGAAAGCCAGGGGAGCAAACGGG
rnacentral:rRNA from 1 species